GUGUGUGUGUGUGUGUGUGUGUGUGUGUGUGUGUGUGUGUGUGAAGGUAAUUGUAAAUAUCCACACAAGGGUAAAUGUUAUAUAAACACGGAAGGCAGCAGAGUGGGAAGUUACCACCAUCCCCCAGUCUAGUACAUUUUUAAAGUAGCUGUGGAGUUUAUGUGCAAUUUAAGCAUUUAAGCUAACCAUUUAGUCACACACUGGCUCGGGGUUUAAGUUAUUUUCCCACUCUGAAUUUAUAUAUAUAUACUGUAUAUAACACAUAUCAUGAGCAGAAAUUACAACUAAAUGUUACUCUGCGAUUGUUCUUACUUCACACCCCUACAAAAAAGGGAUUAUUAGAGAUCCUUUAUUUCCAUAAUCCUCAAUCCCACUGCCCUUUAAUGACGGGAUGGGCAUCUUCUGUACCCUAAUUACCACCGUCACGAGCUAGACAGCAAACGUGAAACCAGCCCCGUCGUUAAAGAGCAUAAUGGAGCAGCUAUUGUCAUUGUGCAUUUAGUAGAGUCACUGUAGCAAUACCACAACAGCAACGCUGCCGAGUCGAGCACACUCACGUUAUCUAGGUAGGACAUCCAUACAAAGGAGUCCAAUUAAGUUAAUUAUUUUGUUUUCUGCCUUUUUCUACCAGUGCAAUAUACAGCAAUGUUACAGGCAGCUUAUUUCUCCAAUUGCCAUUCAUUUUUUAUGCUAAUUAUACUAUGUUGAAUAUGUCAUUUUGUUUUCUGAGCUAUUUAUGAAUUCGGUUGGGUGUCUUAAAAUAAAGUUGCCUGAUUUUGUUUUGAA